rnacentral:tRNA from 1 species
GGGCUGUAGCUCAGUGGCAGAGCGCUUGCCUAGCAUGCAUGAGGCACUGGGUUCGAUCCUUAGCUUCA